rnacentral:rRNA from 1 species
AACACAUGCAAGUCGAGGGGCAGCAUAGAGUCCUAGCAAUAGGAUUCGGAUGGCGACCGGCGCACGGGUGAGUAACACGUAUCCAACCUGGCUGUCAUUCGGGCAUAGCCUUGCGAAAGUAAGAUUAACUCCCGAUGGUAUUUCUUUGCCGCAUGGCAUUGGAAUUAAAAGGAAUGAUGACAGAUGGGGAUGCGUUCCAUUAGAUAGUAGGCGGGGUAACGGCCCACCUAGUCGUCGAUGGAUAGGGGUUCUGAGAGGAAGGUCCCCCACAUUGGAACUGAGACACGGUCCAAACUCCUACGGGAGGCAGCAGUGAGGAAUAUUGGUCAAUGGACGAGAGUCUGAACCAGCCAAGUAGCGUGAAGGAUGACUGCCCUAUGGGUUGUAAACUUCUUUUAUAAAGGAAUAAAGUCCGCUACGUGUAGCGGUUUGUAUGUACUUUAUGAAUAAGCAUCGGCUAACUCCGUGCCAGCAGCCGCGGUAAUACGGAGGAUGCGAGCGUUAUCCGGAUUUAUUGGGUUUAAAGGGAGCGUAGAUGGUUUUUUAAGUCAGCUGUGAAAGUUCGGGGCUCAACCCCGGAAUUGCAGUUGAAACUGGAGGACUUGAGUAUGGCUGAGGCAGGCGGAAUUCGUGGUGUAGCGGUGAAAUGCUUAGAUAUCACGAAGAACCCCGAUUGCGAAAGCAGCUUGCUAAACCAUAACUGACAUUGAUGCUCGAAAGCGUGGGUAUCAAACAGGAUUAGAUACCCUGGUAGUCCACGCGGUAAACGAUGAAUACUCGCUGUUGGCGAUACACGGCCAGCGGCCAAGCGAAAGCGUUAAGUAUUCCACCUGGGGAGUACGCCGGCAACGGUGAAACUCAAAGGAAUUGACGGGGGCCCGCACAAGCGGAGGAACAUGUGGUUUAAUUCGAUGAUACGCGAGGAACCUUACCCGGGCUUGAAUUGCACUCGGAUAUAGUGGAAACAUUAUAGCUAGCAAUAGCGAGUGUGAAGGUGCUGCAUGGUUGUCGUCAGCUCGUGCCGUGAGGUGUCGGCUUAAGUGCCAUAACGAGCGCAACCCUCACCUAUAGUUACUAACAGGUGAUGCUGAGGACUCU